CAGAGUGGAUUUCAUGGGUCCCGUUUUUUUUUUUUUUUUUUUUUUUCUUUUUUGGCUGCCUCACGGUGUUAUGGAGUUGCUGGGCCAGGGUCAAAUCUGAGCCACAGUCUCGACCCACGCCACAGCUGUGGCAACGCCGGAUCCUUGUGCCGGCCUGGGGAUCAAACCUGUGUCCCAGUGCUCCCAAGAUGCCACUGAUCCUAUUCGCCACAGCGGGAACUCCUGUGGGUGCCCUGGUGAUGGGCCUCUGUGUUGUUCCAGGCAGCACUGUGGGAAGCCCCAUGUGCCUGUGUCAUUUCCCACACAUGCGCGUGUCUGCAGGACCCAGCACCAGAGGGGCCCCACUUCACCCCCCCUUCCCCCCACCCCGGGCGGCGGCAGCAGCAGCUCCAUCCCUCCUUCCUCUCUUUCCCCACUGAGCCACCCUCAUCCUCUCCCUCCUGCCCCGCCCCCAGCCCCACCCUCUGGUCUAAGACAGGAGAGCCCCUGCCAGGCGGACGCCAACGUGCAGCCGAGCUCCCAGGCCCUAAACUGCGAAACAGACAUCACAGGACCGUCUGUGCCAAGGCAGGGGGCCUCCCGAGCUGGGCCGGGGGACGGGAAUAGGGGGCUGCAAACCCCAGGUGGGGGGUGGGAGGAGAGACAGAGGCAGUGGCCAGGGAGGGGCAGAGGGGAUGGAUGAGGAGGAGGAGUAAAAGAACUCACUGAGAAGGAGUUCCCGUCGUGGCUCAGUGGUUAACAAAUCCGACUAGGAACCAUGAGGCUACGGGUUCGAUCCCUGGUUAAGGAUCCCUGGUUAAGGAUCCGCCACUGCCCUGAGCUGUGGGGUAGGUCGCAGACGCGGCUCGGAUCCAGCGUUGCUGUGGCUGUGGUGUAGGCCGGCGGCUAUUACAGCUCCGAUUCGACCCUGGGAACCUCCAUAUGCCGCGGGUGCCGCCCUGGAAAAGGCAAAAAAGACACACACACAAAAAGAGGAGGGAGCGCGAGGAUACGAAGGGAAAGCAGAUGGAGUCAAGAGGAGAGGCGACGGGAGGAACAAAGCGAGGGGAAGGGGACCCCGAGAGCACAGGACCCUUCGCGCCCUCCGGAAGGGCCUGUCCCCCACUCCCCGGGGCGUCACUUGGGGGACAAGUGGGUGGGAGCAAGGAAAGGGAGAGCAGAAAGGCUUCCAGAGAGACCCCGAGCACAGGCGGCGAGCAGGGGAAACAACGGGAAGCAGGGAGGGAGGAGUGCCUGAGAGAGAGGGGCGGGGGGGAGAGGAGGAAGCUCUGAGAAGCAGGUCGGAAGGCUGGUGAGAGGAAGAGAGAAAAGCUGUGAGCAAGUGGGUUGGAGACAGACAGCUGGACGGGUGAUAGAGACGGACCCGCGGGGGGGACACGGAAUGACAAGACAGAUGCGCGCGAAGGAAACCAGCACACAGGGUGCGGGAGAUGCCUGUGGGAAGCCGGCGUGCAAGUCACAGAGCAGCCACGGGGCAGAGGAGGCAGAGCGGAGGAGAGAAUGCAGAGGGAGGGGGAGAGAAGGGAGAGAAACCAUGAGGCCAAGGAGGGAGGAGACCCUGGAGCCCGCCUGAGCCUCAGUUUCCCUGGCUGCCAGUUGGGGGGGUGGGGGGACAAGAGGACAACAACCCAUGACUUAAGGACCAGAAGAAGAAUCAGUGCCCUUCCCAUGAACACCGUUCCAGCAUUUUCUAUCCUACUUUCCCUCUUGGUCCUCCUUCAGUCCCUCUUCCUGUCCCUACACCCCACCCCGAGGAAAUAAAAUUGGAACCCC
ensembl:lncRNA